rnacentral:rRNA from 1 species
AGGUUUUCCCGAGGUGAACCUGCGGAAGGAUCAUUG